UGAACCUGCGGAAGGAUCAUUAAAUAAUCAAUAAUUUUGGCUUGUCCAUUAUUAUCU
rnacentral:rRNA from 1 species